rnacentral:rRNA from 1 species
UAGGGAAUCUUCGGCAAUGGUCGGAAGUCUGACCGAGCAACGCCGCGUGAGUGAAGAAGGUUUUCGGAUCGUAAAGCUCUGUUGUUAGAGAAGAACGUUGGUAGGAGUGGAAAAUCUACCAAGUGACGGUAACUAACCAGAAAGGGACGGCUAACUACGUGCCAGCAGCCGCGGUAAUACGUAGGUCCCGAGCGUUGUCCGGAUUUAUUGGGCGUAAAGCGAGCGCAGGCGGUUCUUUAAGUCUGAAGUUAAAGGCAGUGGCUUAACCAUUGUACGCUUUGGAAACUGGAGGAAUUGAGUGCAGAAGGGGAGAGUGGAAUUCCAUGUGUAGCGGUGAGAUGCGUAGAUAUAUGGAGGAACACCGGUGGCGAAAGCGGCUCUCUGGUCUGUAACUGACGCUGAGGCUCGAAAGCGUGGGGAGCAAACAGG